AACGCCGCGUCGCCCCUGCAAUCGCGCGGCGCCGCGGACACACACGAGGUCAGUCAGAGGAUACACGCAGGUCGAUCGAUCGACUGACCAAAGAUCAUCUCUGUCAGUGGCAGGCACGAGCCUCCAACGUACUUGUACAUGAAGAUGUGGCGGUCCGAGGUGAUCUCGCGCUUGCACAAGAAGCAGGCGUCGAGGAAGUGGUGGCCAUGACCGCCGCAGCCAUCGCCGGCGUUCCCCGCCUUCCCGGCUAGGAAGAACCGGGACGCCACCUUCACUGCUAGCUGCUUGGUUUCGCUGGGGCCUGCUGCCGGCGUGAUGCCGGAGCGGAAGGCGAUGUGCCGGCUUCUUUAUACGCGAGGCCGGCGGGCGGUGGCUGGCCAACUUGCGUGUUCCGGCGGGCGCCGGCGGCCGAGGCUUUCCCGCAAACUGACGGCCGCGCUGUCCCACCGUUUUCCUUCCGUCAGGUCGCUCGCCCGGACAAAGACAUGGCCGUGCCCGCGCACCGCUCGCUCUAUUCUACGGGCGCGCGGACGCGGACGUGCAGCCCGCACGGAAAAAACACGGGCGGCGCCCGUGCUCGCGUGCUAUCUUGUCGGGCUCGCGAGCCGCAACUUGCGCAGAGGAUUGGCUCCGGUGGAUUUGCUCGAGUGCCAGUACCAAGCAACCAACACUGGCAUCCUGCUGCUGCAGCAGGUGCGGCACUUCAGCAGCAAGCAAUUAAUUACACUUGCAGGAAAGAUGCAAUGACAGAACCAGAUGUAGCUAAGGGGGUGUUUAGAUCGCAAAUCUUUAUAACAUUUGGAACUUUCUGCUACUGUAGCGUUUUCAUUUGUAUUUGACAAAUUUUAUCUGAUCAUGGACUAACUAGGCUUAAAAGAUUCGUCUCGUGAUGUACAA